UACGUAGGUGGCAAGCGUUGUUCGGAAUUAUUGGGCGUAAAGGGCGCGUAGGCGGUUUGCUAAGUCAGUUGUGAAAGCCCGGGGCUCAACCCCGGAGGGUCGGCUGAUACUGGUGGACUAGAGUACGGUAGAGGCAGGUGGAAUUCCCGGUGUAGCGGUGGAAUGCGUAGAGAUCGGGAAGAACAUCGGUGGCGAAGGCGGCCUGCUGGGCCGUUGCUGACGCUGAGGCGCGACAGCGUGGGGAGCAAACAGG
rnacentral:rRNA from 1 species